rnacentral:rRNA from 1 species
GACGAACGCUGGCGGCGUGCCUAAUACAUGCAAGUCGAACGCAGUGGCGGACGGGUGAAUAACACGUGGGUAACUACCCAUCAGAGGGGGAUAACUAUUGGAAACGAUAGCUAAUACCGCAUACUAGUAGAUGGACCUGCGUUGUAUUAGCUAGUAGGAAGGGUAAUGGCCUACCUAGGCAACGAUACAUAGCCGACCUGAGCGUGUGAUCGGCCACACGUGGCACGAGACACGGCCCAGACUCUUACGGGAGUCAGCAGUAGGGAAUCUUCGGCAAUGGGGGGAACCCUGACCGAGCAACGCCGCGUGAGUGAAGACGGUUUUCGGAUCGUAAAGCUCUGUUGUUAAGGAAGCGGUACUUAACCAGAAAGGGACGGCUAACUACGUGCCAGCAGCCGCGGUAAUAC